UAAUACACAAUAUGAAAUAAAAUACUAUUUACAAUAUAUAAAAUUUCUACGUCUUUUUAAAAUCAAAUGACAGGUUUUGGCACACACACGUAUCAUAUUUACAUCUGAGAGUAAAAACACUAACUUUUGAUUAUCAUCUAAAGUAUUAAAAUUAUCAUUAAAAGUUUCAGCAACAUAAUAUAAAUGGUUUCUAAAAUCGUCAUAAAGAGGACAUCUUAAUAAAACAUGCGCUUCAUCUUCAAUAAAAACGUCACAUAUAUGGCACACUCUAUUUUCUAAAACAAUAUUUUCAUAUCUCCCUGUUUCAAUUCUUAGGGGAGCAACACCACAUCUAAAUUUGGCGAAAGCACUUCUGUGACUGAAGGGUAAAGCUAUUUUGCAGUAUUCCUCCGGUUCAAAAUUUUCCUUAAACAGUCUGUAAGUUCGUAGCUUAUUGCCACCUCUGCCCGAUAUAGAUUUAUCUAGAAUGUAAAACAGCAUGCCAAUUAUCGAC
rnacentral:lncRNA from 1 species